rnacentral:rRNA from 1 species
GACGAACGCUGGCGGCGUGCUUAACACAUGCAAGUCGAACGGAAAGGCCCUGCUUUUGUGGGGUGCUCGAGUGGCGAACGGGUGAGUAACAAGUGAGUAACCUGCCCUUGACUUUGGGAUAACUUCAGGAAACUGGGGCUAAUACCGGAUAGGAGCUCCUGCUGCAUGGUGGGGGUUGGAAAGUUUCGGCGGUUGGGGAUGGACUCGCGGCUUAUCAGCUUGUUGGUGGGGUAGUGGCUUACCAAGGCUUUGACGGGUAGCCGGCCUGCGAGGGUGACCGGCCACAUUGGGACUGAGAUGCGGCCCAGACUCCUACGGGAGGCAGCAGUGGGGAAUAUUGCACAAUGGGCGGAAGCCUGAUGCAGCAACGCCGCGUGCGAGAUGACGGCCUUCGGGUUGUAAACCGCUUUCGCCUGUGACGAAGCGUGAGUGACGGUAAUGGGUAAAGAAGCACCGGCUAACUACGUG